rnacentral:misc_RNA from 1 species
GAUGAAGAACGUAGCGAAAUGCGAUAAGUAAUGUGAAUUGCAGAAUUCAGUGAAUCAUCGAAUCUUUGAACGCACCUUGCGCCCUUUGGACAUUCCGAAGGGCAUGCCUGUUUGAGUAUCAUGAACACCUCAACUCUCACGGCUUGUCCGUGAUGAGCUUGGACUUUGGGGGUCUUGCCGGCCUGUGGUCGGCUCCUCUCAAAUGGAUCAGCUUGCCAGUGUUUGGUGGCAUCACAGGUGUGAUAACUAUCUGCGCUUGUGGUUUUCCAUCAGAUAACCUUCAGUGAUAUGGAGGUUCGCUGGAGCUCACAAAUGUCUCGCCUUAGUGAGGACAGCUCUUUGAACGUUUGAUCUCAAAUCAGGUAGGACUACCCGCUGAACUUAAGCAUAUCAAUAAGCGGAGGA